UUCUCCAAAAACGUUUUUCUCUUUACUCUUUCUCCAGCUUUCUCUGAACUUAUCGAUGAACAGAAGAUGAAGAACUAAAAUUGAAGAAUUGAAUAUCCACGAACUGAGCUAAAGAUUUCUUUGAUAAUAAAGAUCGAUGAACUGAGCUGAAGCUGAGCAAUUGAAGAAAGACGAACUGAGUUGAAGAUAAAUAGCUGAAGCUAAAGAAAUAAAAGCGAAAGCUGAAGAGUUGAGCUGAAGAUUACUCAAAUAUCGACUUUGUCAAGCCUGAAAUUCCAAAGUAGGAGAAGAAAGUGCCGAAAAUCGUGAACAACAAGUGUUCCCUAGGCAUAUUCAGCAGACGAGAAAGAGGGAAUUACUACUCGGAAGCCUUUGAGUCUAUUAGAAUCUAUCUUGUUAUCAUAUUGAUUUCGUAAGAACAUACUUAUGAUGUCAAUUUCUCAAACUUCCUAGAAGGGUUGGGAUGAGAAUGACUUAUGCAUGGAGGGGUAAUUUUAUGGUGCAAUUUUUUCUUAUAAAUAAGAACAAUUGAUUUCUAGCUA